AUUGAACGCUGGCGGAAUGCUUUACACAUGCAAGUCGAACGGUAGAGGGGGCAACCCCUCGAGAGUGGCGAACGGGUGAGUAAUAUAUCGGAACGUGCCCAGUCGUGGGGGAUAACGUAGCGAAAGUUACGCUAAUACCGCAUACGAUCUAAGGAUGAACGCGGGGGAUCGCAAGACCUCGCGCGAUUGGAGCGGCCGAUAUCAGAUUAGGUAGUUGGUGGGGUAAAGGCUCACCAAGCCAACGAUCUGUAGCUGGUCUGAGAGGACGACCAGCCACACUGGAACUGAGACACGGUCCAGACUCCUACGGGAGGCAGCAGUGGGGAAUUUUGGACAAUGGACGCAAGUCUGAUCCAGCCAUUCCGCGUGCAGGAUGAAGGCCCUCGGGUUGUAAACUGCUUUUGUACGGAACGAAAAGGUCUCUCUUAAUACGGGGGGCUCAUGACGGUACCGAAGAAUAAGCACCGGCUAACUACGUGCCAGCAGCCGCCGUAA
rnacentral:rRNA from 1 species